GCACUCGCUUCAGCAGUACACAUACUAACAUCGGGACAAUGCAGAGAAGAUUAGUACGGCCCUGUGCAAAGAUAACAUUCCAAUUCAGGAAGCGUCCCAUAUUUUU